GACGAACGCUGGCGGCGUGCUUAACACAUGCAAGUCGUACGGUAAGGCCCUUUCGGGGGUACACGAGUGGCGCACGGGUGAGUAACACGUGAGUAACCUGCCCACAACUUUGGGAUAACGCUAGGAAACUGGUGCUAAUACUGGAUAUGUGCUCCUGCUGCAUGGUGGGGGUUGGAAAGCUCCGGCGGUUGUGGAUGGACUCGCGGCCUAUCAGCUUGUUGGUGGGGUAGUGGCCUACCAAGGCGGCGACGGGUAGCCGGCCUGAGAGGGUGACCGGCCACAUUGGGACUGAGAUACGGCCCAGGCUCCUACGGGAGGCAGCAGUGGGGAAUAUUGCACAAUGGGCGCAAGCCUGAUGCAGCAACGCCGCGUGCGGGAUGACGGCCUUCGGGUUGUAAACCGCUUUCAGCAGGGACGAAGCUUUUUGUGACGGUACCUGCAGAAGAAGCACCGGCUAACUACGUG
rnacentral:rRNA from 1 species